GGAGAGGUGUCCGAGUGGCUUAUGGUGUCGCUCUCGAAAAGCGAUCUCCGGUUUACGGAGCGUGGGUUCGAAUCCCACCCUCUCCG
rfam:Dehalogenimonas lykanthroporepellens BL-DC-9, complete genome.